CUGGGACGGAGGACGGGGACAGGGGAGCCCCUGCGGCGCCACUUCUUCCUCUCCGAGUCCUGUCUGCCCUUGAUGGAGCCACUGGUGGGGUUACUUGCUGGCGGUCGGCCACUUUCGCCCCUCCCUCGCCAGCCCGCCAGCUCCCUAAGGUUUUGUGGUUUUUUGUCACCACCACACCUCAGUGUUGAGCUAAGUGAGGACGUCCCCCCAGCAAAUGUAUUGGACGGAAGGAAACGCUGUGCGGGAGGAGGCGGAGGAAAGUAGGCCACCCGGGGCUCAAGUGGUGAGAAGAGGCAGCCAGGCAGGGUGGAAGGUGGGGUGUGGCCAGCUUGUUGGGUGUCCCACCCUGUGCUGUUGGGGGCGUGGAGGGUAGUGUGGGGUGGCCAGGGCGGGCUCACGUCCUCAUCCCCCUCCUCUUUCCCAGAACCACACCCAAACCCUCUUCAACCCCCUGUGUGUGGGCUGUGGCAGGGGUCAACCUCUUGUGUUCAGGUCCCCUAGGGGCCCACCCCACUCUACUAGGAACCAGGGGUCGGAUGCUGUCAGGGGAAGCCGUGUGGCUUGAGGAGUCGAGACCCUUUCCAAAUCCACCCCUGUGGAAUCUUGAGCAAAUCCCCACACCCAACUUAGCUUCAGUGUGGUGGAGGUGGGCCCAGCGCCUCUCUUGAGGGAGUGCUGCUGUAGGUACCUUCCAGCAGGCCAGGCUCCUGAGCUGGGAUCACCAUGAAGCUGGCAUCUCUCCUGGUAGCACCUAUUCUGGGGCCUUGAGCUCCGACACUCUUACGCUGGAGUUGAACUUAAGCUGCAGCGGGAGGGCUUUAAGCUAGACCCGCAGAAUUUGAGCUCUAAGGACUUGCUUAAGAUUGGGAGAGUAACUUCUUCUGCAAGGGGGCCAGCAGAGGGGCUCUCGGGUUGAAGGAGGGUUAUGCUGGCCCAAGCAUUGCCAUCAUAGCCACAGCUGGGCUGUGCCUCAGAGUCUGCAGGAGCAGGGCCCUUGGCCUUGGCUCCCAGGACAGUUGGGAGAUGGAGGGCAGCCCCAGUAGCUGCCAUCUUCCUGUCAUCUACCCACACGUCUCCAGAUCUGUUUGCCUGCAUCAGGGCCUGACUCCUGCCCCACAUGGGCCUGUGUACCAUUCAAGAAGAAAGCUUAGCUGUCUCCAACCCCGGCAUUCCCACAAGGGAAAGCUUGAGAUCUGCUGAGGGAGGGUCCUGGGAAGAGGCCUUCUUCUGUUCUCCUGUACAGCAGAGGUGUUGGCAUGUGCACGUGUGUGUCUGCAUGUGUGUGCAUCUGUGAACAUCUGUCUGUGGCUCUCGUUCUGAGCACCUGUGUGUCUCCGCUUCUGCCUUGUUCUGUCUUGGCACCUCUGGGUGUCUGUAUGUCUUUUUCUAAUCCUGGCUCUCUUCUUGUGCUUCUCUGGGCCUCGUCUUUUCAUCUUUGUGUUUUUUGCUUACUGUAUUGUAAUAUCCAUUUCCAUGCUGGAAUUCUCCUACCAGACCAUGGGCUCUGUGAGGGCAAAGACUGUCUUUUAUCUUCCCAUGUGUGCACAUAGUAGGAGCCUAGUACAUUUCUGUGGAGUAAAUGAAUGGAGAUCUGGCUCUGUUAAGAAUCCCUUAGUGUCUGUGUCUCUGGCUGCCUGACUUUCUGGGUCUCUGUGACCCUCAGAAGCUAGUUUUGUGGUUCUGUGUAGGGGUAUACCUGGUUUAUUCCCAUGCAUAUGUGUAUUUCUUGUGGUAGUUUUUCUCUCCUUGUCUAUGUCUGUUUCAGGUUUGUUGAUCUGCCUGAAUGUCUCUGCAUGUGGCCCCACAUCUCUCCUCAUGCCUGCUGGUCUCAGAGUAUAAUGGAUGCUGAGUCCAAAGCAGGUGUUUCCUGGGCAUUCGUGGCAGGGGAAUUGGACUUCCAAAUCUGCCCCCUCUCCACGUGGGUGAGCUUCUCCCAGACUCUCCAUCAUAAGAGGCUGUGAGCACCCGAAACUGAUCACCUUCUCAGCCUAGAAUGGGAGUGAGCUGUGGUCCUCUCCCUCUCUUCCUCUCACUGUGACCCCAAUCACAGCACCUGCCCUUCUCUAAUUGGCUGAUGUCAAUGGAAGGGGGAAGGGAAGGCUGAUGUCCAAGGAGGAAAUCCCAUUAGGUGAGCCAGAGCCAAGUUAUUAGUGGUUAAGAUGUAAUUGGAGUUGGUGAAUAAUCUCAUUCAAUUCAUCACGUAUUUAUGGCGCAUCCAGCUGUGUGACCUUGGGUGCGGUGUUUCACCUCUCUGAUGAAAUAAGACCUUAAUGUUUGCCAAGGACCCUGGAUUUCUGAGAUUCUGAGUCCCUGAAGCUGGAAGGAAUCUCUACCGAAUUCCGAUCACUUGCUGCUGCCUCUCUCCUUGCUUCUGAGUUAUUUGUGCAAUUACCUGCAUUCCCUCCUAAACUCUACAUUCCUUCAGGCCAGGGUCUUAUAUAACUAUCCCCCACAGUUUAGUGCCUUGCACACAGUGGGUGAUUUAUCAGUUUUUCUGAAUGGAUGACUGAAUGCUAGGCACUGUGAUUAAUAACAAAGAAAUAGAAUUAGAAGCCCUGUGCUUAGGCAGUAUACAAUUUUAGGGGAACGGGGAGGGCGGAGAUGACCUUUGCACUUUAUAUUAUAGCUUUGGGAACUUGUGUGAGUUCCUCAGCCUCUUUGUGCCUCUAUCUCCUCAUUAAUAACAUGCAAAUAAUAACGGCUACUAACUAAGGAUUUUGUGAGGAUUAAAUGUGAUCGUAUGUACAGUUAAAUCCUUCGUGUAGUGUUUGGCACUUAGUAGAUCCUUAAUUAAUGUGUGUUCCUGCUCUAUUCCCAACUAGAGAACAAGCACCAAGCCCUGUGGAUUUCAGAAGAUGAGGAAACUGAGGCCUAGGAGAGUUAAAGGACCGCCCAAGACCACACCACCGCACAGAGACACCAGGACUGAACGCUUGUGUCUUCUGACUUGCAGCUUCCAGCAGCCUGGAUCAUGCUCUUCUUACCUCAUCUGGGUAGCAAGAGAAGGCUGCUCUAAAGCUACCUUACUCCCAGGUUGCAGGAGCAGAACCAAGACGUUCAGAUCCCUUGAGGAAGAGAAUGGCUCAGCAUGAGGGGGCCUCACCCAGAGCCCUGGGUCUGCUCUGAGCCCCUCACUUAAAGAGGGAAGCUGACCAAAUGAGCAGAACAGAGCAACAGAGCAAGUGGCACCAGAGAGACCACCCACGGAGGGCACUUCGUGAAGAGCGAGGAUUGGCUCUGACCAGUGCUUAUCAGCAGGCACACAGGUAGUUGAAAACAAAUCCCAGAUAUCAGGUGACUUCAUGUGGAAUGACUUCAGUAAGUACCUCUCACUAACUGGCCAUGCCAGGAUCACACCUGAGGAAAUUAACAGUAAUCCCAUGGUGAGCGUCAGCUGACACUCAGUCCCUCUUUAACUGCGCCCCGCCUCCUCCCGUAAAUAUGUAAACCCACACUGCAAGGGUGGAUGGAGGGCCAUGUGGCCGGGCGGCUUCUGUGCUUUAGCUUUGGAGCCUUAAGAGGGUGAGGGUUGAAUACCUGUGGCUUUGGGUGGGUGGUUUGCUUUAUGGGGCCUCUCUUUCUUCCUAUGCCAAAGGUACUGACCUCUCCCAAGGCGGUCAGGAGGACUGAAUGAAAUUGUAUGAGUACAGUACUGGGUACUUGGUAGGGACUCAAUGAAUGGUGGCAGUGCUUACGAUGUUUUCUAUUUUGCAUAUAAGGAAACUGAAGUUCAGAGCAGGAGAGUGACUUGCUCAAGCUCACACAGCUCAGAGUGGUUAAGCUAGGAUGGAAGCGUAGGUCUUCUAAGUGCUCUGGGAUGUGUGUUCAACACAGCCCCCUCACCCCCUCUAAUACUGGCCUUGUCUGCCACCACCCCAUACUACAAAUGGAAAUGACACAGAGGGUGACAUCAACAGGUCCCUUUUUCUCGAUAGCCACUAGAUCAUGGUGCUGUGGGCUGAGCAGAUGAUUGAUAGGACAUCACUGGGCCUGGCUCUCCAGGAGACCUAGAAAAAGAUCUUGCCCCUCUCUGGGCCUCAGUUUCCCUAUCUGUACCACAAGGGCAUUGACCUCCACGUGGUCUUCGAGACCUCUUCCAGUUCUGCUUUGUUUGCACCAGGGUUAGUAACCGUGGGAAUGGGAGAGAUGGAGAUACUUGAGGCUGAUGGGGAGUUGCACAGCCCAAGACCCCAGGCUGCAAGACAGUAUGGGGAUGAGGGCGAUCCUCCCAUAUUGGAGAUCAGGGAUGGGGUGGCCCAGCUAGGUAGAAGUGAAGCUCCCCCACCCCCACUGGAUUGUGAACCUCCUGAAAUUAGGGCUGUGACUUGUACCUUAUAAGUAUCACAUAGAUGAGAAAAAAUUUCAUCGAUGUAAUGGAUGGAACACUAGAUAGGAGAUCAGUAAGGAAAUAGAAGACUUUAAAAACACUGUAAACCAGCUAGACCUAACAGACACUGCUUUCUAACGGCGAUUGAAGAGCACAUUCCACCCAGCAACAGCAGAAUACACAUUCUUCUCAAGUGCACACGGACCAUUCUCUAGCAUAGAUCAUAUCUUAGGCCACAAAUCAAAUCUCAAUAAAUUUAGAAAAAUUGAAAUUACACAAAAUAUGUUCUCUGACAACAGAGUAAUGAAAUUAGAAGGUCAAAAACAGAAGGAAAUUUGAAAAUUCACAAAUAUGUAAAAAUUAAACGACACACUCCUAACCAAAGGGUCAAAAAAUAAAUCAUAAGGGAAAUUAGAAAAUACUUUGAGACGAAUGAAAACAAAAACACAACAUACUAAAACUUACAGGAUGCAGUAAAAGCAGUGCUCAGAGGGAAAUUUAUAGCUGUAAACACCUACCUUAAAAUAGAAGAUCUCAAAUCAAUAACCUUCCACCUUACUAAAAAAAAAAAAAGCAAACUAAAUCCAAAGCAAGCAAAUAAAAAAAUUAGAGCAGAGAUAAAUGAAACAGAGAACAGAAAAACGAUAGAGAAAAAUCAGCAAAACCAAAAGUUGGUUGUCUGAAAUGAUCUACAGAAUUGACAAACCUUUAGCUAAACUGACCGAGAAAAAAAAAAAGAGAGAGAAAACUGAAAUUACUAAAGUCAGGAAUGGAAGUGGAGACCUUGCCACUGACCUUACAGAAAUAAAAAGGAUUAUACAAUUUCACUGAUAGAUUCGAAAGAAACUCCACAACAUUUCUAGAGAUUGGAGAGAACAUCCGGAAAUGGUUACCAGUAGUUGCCUUCAGGGAAACAGGGCUGGGGUGGGUGGAGCUGGGGUGCCUGCUUUUUAUUAUAAGUCCUUAAGGGCUAUUUUUGUAAAUGCUUUGAUUGCAAAAUAUAAGACACAUACAGAAAAGUGGAUUUUUAAAAAGUACCGCUCAGUAAUUUAUCACCAAGUGAAUAUCCAUGAAACCACCACUUGGUCAAGAGGAACAUUACCACCUCCCCAGAAGCCCCUCCUGUACUCUAGCCAAUCCUCCUCCCCAAAGAAAACCACCAUUCUGACCUUUAUGGCAAAUACUCUUGCUCUCCUUGAUAGUUUUGCCAUCUCUACACACAAUAGUUGGGUUCAGUUCGUGCUUGAUAAAUCCAAUCAAGUAGCAGGUCCUCUUUUGGGUCCGGCUUCUUGCAUUUUACAUUCUGUUUGUGAGAUUCCCCAUGCUGUUGUAGGAAGCAAUCGUUGGCUCAAAUUUUCUUAGCUGUAUCAUAUUCCAUUUUAUGAGUACACCAUCAUUUAUGUGUCUGUUCAACUAUUGAUGGAAUGGGCUUUUUAAAAAGCCAUGUACCUAAAGAUAGGUUGAUUAAAAUAUUUCUGAUAAAAUGCACAUUUAAAAUGCAACUCAACACAUAUUAGUUUAAUUUCAUCCCUAGGAUCCUCAUUCCCUUUUCUGCUCCAAUAAGUCAUGAAGACAGCUUGGGUCUCAGAAGAAAAUAGGCCGUUUAAGCAGAAGCCCAGAGGGAACACAUCUGAGAGAUGCCCACACCCUCAUGGGGUCCUCUCAUCAGCCCUUCUCCCCAAAUUUUCAGCCUCAAAUGGGGGAGGUCACACAGAUGGAGAGAAACCACUCUCUCCCUUCCACCCGAGGUCUGCAGAUUCCUGACACACAUACGAGUGCACACCCAGGCAGACAGGCAAGAGCGUGGCCCCCACACAUGAGCACACACACGGGCACCUAGGCAUAUCCCAGAAGUGGCAAUGCCUGCUGGCACCUGACCAGCAGGCGAGGUCUGUGCACAGAGAAGUUGUGGAAGAAGAGGAGGGGAAAGCGUGGGGGAAAAAUCCCCUCAUUUCUGAAGAAAUGUCCCAGAUUAGAUUUGUAAAUCAAAAACCAAUAUAUAACAUGCAAGAAUUGAUCUGUUUUAUAUUCCUCAGUUACAUUUUUGUGAAGCACAUUUAGAAGAUUUAGAACGUAUUUGCGCCUGCUGGUUGGGCCAUUAUAUGCUUGAGUUCAUACAUCUAUUUGUGAGGCUAUAAAACAGGCAUCGACUACCAUGUAAAUUGUGUUCUCCACAAUAAAUUAUAUGCAUACUUGCAAAAAUACAUAACUGCCGUGCCUGGGCCAACGCGGCCAGAAUACUAAUGAGGGCGAAAGUUGCUUUGUCCCUCUUCUCCGGCCUAAUUUAGCCUCUACAUCAAAAAUUAUGUAGGAAAAAUCACUUUAUCCUCUCACUGAGAAAUAAAAUAGCACUCAUGGGUACCCUCAUCUCUUCCCACCCCCCUUCCUUUUAACCGAACACUACCAUUUUCAUACUAAUUUUAGCUGCUCCAGGUUUACGGGGAGGAAGGCUGGCUGAGCUGAAGCUGGGGUGCCAGCGGGCUGCCUGGAUGUAUGAGAAGGCUGUGGGAGUGGGCAUGUGCAUGCACACACUCACACACACACAUGCAUACACACGUAGGCACAUUCCCUCCGUGUGGUUUGAAUUCGCUUGUGCCAGGGCAUGUUCACAGCAUGCACACAGACCUACAUGUAAAUGUGAAGACUCACCCCAGACACGCAUGCACAGACACUCCACGAGCAUUUGCCCACGUGGCGCAGAUUCAUUCCCUCUCCCCGGUACAGACUCCUAUGCACAGAGACACACUGGGGAAAUUCAGUUCAGUUCGGUUCAAUUCAGUUCAAACAGGUCAGUCCAGCAAACACUGACUGAGCACCUAUUAGAUGCCAUGUGCUGUACUUGGCAUUGGGACUACGGAGAUUUUUUUUUAAAAAAGGCAGAAUCUCAGCUUAUAGCUCAGGGGAAGAGGCAGCUUUAGGAACAAAUGCAGACAAGUCAGUAUGCUGAGGGCUGUAGCAGAGACAGAGAGCAUACAGGUACACACACUCACGCCCUGGUCAUUGUCAGUGUGCAUAUUUUCCAGUACUCAUAUGUGCACACACAGAUGCACACAGAGUCCCUGCACUUACACAGGCACAUACCUCACACCACAUGGACUCACGUGUGCAUGCACAACACACACAUACACACACCGGUACACUCAAGCAUCAGCAUAGCCACCCUCCCACUGACACCGCAUGCUGGUGCCUGCCUCACCUCUGUCUUUCCUGCAAGCCCAAGUUAACUUCACGCCCUGUCUGGCUUGCCCUUUCUUGGGUUCUGUUGCUGUCUAUCCUGGAAGCAGAGCCACUUCCAACAGCAGGCUGGCUAGUGUUGCUCCCACUUCUCCCAGGGGCCUGCCCAAGGUUCCAUCUUGCUGGGAGCUUCCGCAGGCUCACAAGAGGAAGGAGAAGUAGACACAGGAAGAUCUCAUUUCCAUGACCUCAGGCCAGUCCGUGCCCUGUCCCAGGCCUCAGUUUACUCCUUUUCUUUUUCUUUUUUCCUUUCUUUUUUUUUUUUUUUUUUUUUUGAGAUGGAGUCUCACUCUGUCACCCAGGCUGGAGUGCAGUGGCGUGAUCUCUGCUCACUGCAACCUCCACCUCCCAGGUUCAAGCAAUUCUCGUGCCUCAGCCUCCCGAGUAGCUGGAACUACAGGUGUGCACCACUACAUCUAGCUGCCUUUUUUGUAUUUUUAGUAGAGACAGGGUUUCACCAUGUUUGCCAGGCUGGUCUCCAACUCCUGACCUCAGGUGAUCCGCCCGUGUUGGCCUCCCAAAAUGCUGGGAUUACAGGCGUAAGCCACCGUGCGCCCGGCCUACCCAUUUUUAAAAUGUGGGAAUUGGAUGGUCUCUGAGGCCAUCAGGCUCCAGAUGUCCACAGUUUGUGCUGAAGAAGGUGGCGCCUCAGUCCAAGUCAGAGAGUGUGAGACAACUGCAGAGACGCCCCCAACCUGGAGGCAUCUCGGCCCCGCUCCGAGCUCCCAGCCUAAGAGAAGCGUUUGACCUCAGGGGCAGGCCUCAUGAGGGCAGGAGAAGUCAUGUCCUGGAGAAAAGGAGUGGCAAGAUGUGGUAGGGGAGAGAAGACUUGGUGCAAGAGGGCCAGCUGGGAUAUUUAUAGGUGCCAGCCACGGUUCUAGGGGAAUUUCAUUCUAUCUUCAAACACCUGAAGGGCUGCCGUGGGGCAGAGGGAAAGGACUUCCUCUGCAUGACCCAGUUGGUAGAACUAGGACAGUGGGAAAGUGGUGGAGGCUGCAAGGAGACAGACAGCCUUUAGUUGAAUACAGUGAUCAGCGUGAUUUCUCCGUGCGUGCACCCGCCUACCAGCAUGCGUGGUGUACAUUCUGCUGCUGUGUAUUCCGUCUCCUUGCAGCCCUUUCUUUCCUCUGCUCCCUAUAGCUCAUCCUAUGGCUUUUCAUACCGUACUAUUUUCUCUUUAUCUCAGCUUGUUCUUGGAGUAGAAAAUAUGUUCUUUUUAAAAACGAAAAUCAGAUUUUUAUUGAGGAAAAAAUAUUAAGUUCACAUGAUGAAAAAUUCAAAUUGGUCAAAGGAUGUAUGGCGAAAAGAAGGUCUCUCUCUCUGGCUGCCCAGGCUCCUCCGGCUGCCCAGGCUCCUCCGGCUCAUCGUCAUCCAGCUUCCUUCUCCAGAAACAACCACUGUUACCAAUUGUUAUGUGUUUUUUCAGAAAUAUACUGUGCGUGCAAGCA